AAAAGUAUCGGGGAAGUAACUCUUAAAGCUGAACAGAGUCAACAGGAAGCAGCCAAAAAACAUGAAGAGGAAAAGAAAGAACUGGAGAACAAAUUGUUGGAACUGGAAAAGAAGAUGGAAACUAGCCACUACCAGUGUCAGGACCUGAAAGCCAAGUAUGAAAAAGCCAGUUCUGAGACUAAAAUAAAGCACGAAGAAAUCCUGCAAAACUUCCAGAAGAUGCUGGUGGACACGGAGGAUAAACUGAAGGCUGCCCAGGAGGCCAACAGAGACCUGAUGCAGGACAUGGAGGAGCUGAAAUCCCAGGCCGACAAAGCCAAAGCUGCUCAGACUGCAGAAGACGCCAUGCAGAUCAUGGAACAGAUGACCAAAGAGAAAACAGAAACACUGGCCUCCUUGGAGGACACCAAGCAAACGAAUGCAAAACUACAGAGCGAAUUGGACACACUUAAGGAAAACAACUUGAAAACUGUGGAAGAGCUGAACAAGUCAAAAGAACUUCUGAACGAAGAGAACCAAAAAAUGGAAGAAUUCAAGAAGGAAAUAGAAACCCUAAAGCAGGCAGCAGCUCAGAAGUCCCAGCAGCUUUCAGCACUGCAGGAAGAGAACGUCAAACUUGCCGAGGAGCUGGGGAGGACGCGGGACGAAGUCACAAGUCAUCAAAAGCUGGAAGAAGAACGAUCUGUACUCAAUAAUCAGUUGUUAGAAAUGAAAAAGAGAGAAUCCGAGUACAGAAAAGACGCCGAUGAAGAGAAAGCCUCCUUGCAGAAAUCCAUCAGCCUCACCAGUGCCUUACUCACGGAGAAGGACGCAGAGCUGGAGAAGCUGAGGAAUGAGGUCACAGUGCUCAGGGGGGAAAACGCCUCUGCCAAGUCCCUGCACUCAGUCGUGCAGACCCUGGAGUCGGAUAAGGUGAAGCUUGAGCUCAAGGUCAAAAACCUGGAACUUCAACUCAAGGAAAACAAGAGGCAGCUCAGCAGCUCCUCAGGUAACACUGAUGUUCAGACAGAAGAGGAUGAGAGAGCCCAGGAGAGUCAGAUUGAUUUCCUCAACUCGGUAAUAGUGGACCUUCAAAGAAAGAACCAAGACCUCAAGAUGAAGGUGGAGAUGAUGUCUGAAGCUGCGCUGAACGGCAACGGGGAGGAUCCGAACAGUUACGACAGUGAUGACCAGGAGAAGCAGUCCAAGAAGAAACCCCGCCUCUUCUGUGACAUUUGUGACUGCUUUGAUCUCCACGACACAGAGGACUGCCCCACCCAGGCGCAGAUGUCAGAAGACCCUCCGCACUCCACUCACCACGGCAGCCGGAGCGAGGAGCGGCCAUACUGUGAGAUCUGUGAGAUGUUUGGCCACUGGGCCACCAACUGCAACGACGAUGAGACCUUCUGAGGAGGCCGGGCACACAGGACUGGGCUUCCCGGACGCCGGCCCCUCAGCAGCUUUCCACCAGCGCUGCCCACGUGACUUCGGAAGAACUCCUUAUUUUUUGACCCCCCUGUCAACAAAUCUGAGAAAGUAUUUUGAUCUUCAACAGAUUUCCCUUUCUUUUCCUCUCGUAAGUUAAAAUAAUAAACAUUUGGUAGGUGGGCUUGCACUUCCGUCCUUGUUUUCUGGAUUUUUAAAGUUUAAGACAUUGUACGAGGUGCUACAGUAACUUUUUGUUCCCGGAGAAACACCCUGGGACAAGCUGGACCCUGGCAGUGUCUUAUUUAAGAAACUUUAAAUUAUGACGUUAAGCCUCAUAUUUGCACUAAAAUGUUUCCUGGCUUCAUCUGUAUAUUUCGGUGGUUGUUUUUGUUACGCUUUGACACUGGAAUGAGUUGCAAAAAGAAAAAAAAGCGCCACUUUGUGAAUUCGUGCCCUCCUUUAAAUACUUUUUUUCCUAAGUGUCCAAGCUGUCGGCACUACCCACUGUCAGUAGUGCCCUUUUCCAGGCUUGACAAGACUUGGGCGAGAUUAUAAAUCAUGAAACAGGUAAAAGGGAGGGGAAAGCCCCAAACUGCUGUGGGGACAUUUUCUAAUCUAUAUGCUACACCCCUGGUGGUGUUUUCUUUAUUGGUUUUACAUAAUUUCAACCUCUAUAUAUUAUAUGUAUAUAUAUUUUUUAAAAAACAAAAUCUAUAUUUUGGGAAAAAAAAGUCUAUACAGUGUGUCUUCUUUUCAGAUUUUUUUACCUUUACAAAAAAGAAAACACCUAAAGGCUCACCAGGAUGUGACCGGCUGGGCCAGAGACAGGCUCUGCGGUGUCACGGCCAUCGUCUUUGUUUCCGUGUUGUUUCUUAGCCAGCUCGUCGGUUGUUCCCCUUCUUUAGCAGAUAACCCCAGCAGCAAACCAAGCCGCUCUUACGGCCGCCAAACUAACCGGUCCACAGCCCUCCCUUAUGCAUCUGUGCGGUUCGUUUGUUGUUUGUUGUUUGUUUUUUCUUUUACUGUAUUUUUAAUGAAUGUAUGAUGAGAAAUUCAACAUGGAUAAUUUUGAAUUUUCUUAUCACAAAAAGAUAAAACAAAGGACCUCAAUCAACUGAAGAGUUUAUCAGCCAGUCUGAGUCUGUCUGUCUUCACUUGAAUGUCUUUGAAAAUAUGUAAGAAGGAGUCAGACGCGUGUCCAUGCCACGUGCAGGAUAAGAGCUUCCACCUUUGUAUAUAAAUAAGCCUUCGCCAUGUCCCCCGUAAGAUUAUCCACUGUGCUUGACGAGUGAACAUUCAACAAACCUGUUACCAGUUGGCAUUUUGGGUUAAUAAAACUAUAGGAAUUAUUUCACAAACGAAAUAUGUAAAGCAGUAUUAAAAUCUGAGUUCUGUACCUACUUC
rnacentral:lncRNA from 1 species